rnacentral:misc_RNA from 1 species
CUUCAGCAUGGGGAGGUCAGUUGUAGUUGCUGUUCUGUGUGUCGUGGUGGUAGUGUCGGGCGCUGUUCAUGACGACACUCAAGUUUCGCAGCUGAGAGAAGAAGUCAAUAAACUGAAACGACGAGGUAUUAAAGCUGAUUUGAGGAAAAUAUCCAACCAGUUACGGGGAUUGGAAAGCAUGUUGAGGCGUGUGGAAAGAGGUGUUGCAGAACAAAAGGUUUGUCUCCGUGACCAAGGUGACUCAAUUCAAAAUAUCAUGAACCACUGCUGCGUCGGAGACAGAACUUCUGGUUCAACGGAAUCGCCCUCUGAAAACGUCAUUUCCACUACUGAAGCUCCCGACCAGCAACUGUCACCAACUGUAGUCGUCGUUGUCGGGACAACGCGCACGACGAUUGAGCUGGUGAUGACACCCUCUUCUAACUAUGGGGACCGAGAGGUCACAUGGUAUCAAGUUCGGCAUAAUACUUCCGGUUACGAUGUCGUCUACUCUGUUGUUGGUAGUCAAACGGACAUUCGUCAUUUUGUGGUGACGGGUUUGGUGCCCAACACGCAAUACACUUUUCAAGUGACUGCAUGGUACAGCGCUAACGACGGAGAGAUUGCAAACGUCACAGCAAAAACACUGCGUGGGACCGUCCCGUCAGCUCCAGUCGUCAACAUUGGUGAACUCACAAACAACUCUGUGGAGUUGCUGAUGUCCAAGCCAGCAUCUGAUGAAGACGUGGACGUCGAUUCCUAUGUUAUUGUUUAUCCACGUAUGACAAAUGAGCAUCGCUUCAACGUAAAAAUCACGCCACCUGUCACCAGAUUUUGGGUCAACAGUACGUGGCCACAGACUAUUCAGGUUCAAGCAGCAGCUGGUAGGGAGACUGGACCAGAAGUGCUUGUUCUUGCUUCUCCUUUAUCGGACCGUAAGUUGAUGAGGAAAUCAGUUUCUCGUGUGUUGCUCAUGCUCUACUUCGCCAUUACUGUGGCCGGAUGUUGUCAGACUUUAAGGGCGGGUAACUCUGACCAUACUCCAGUACCGGUGACAUUUUGAAAAACGUUUCUGUAUCCUGCCUUUGAUAUUUUUUGCUGGAUUUUUAUGAUGCACUAAUUUGACAUAUUGCUGGAGGAAAAUGAACAAACUCGAGAGCAAUACAUGUAAUGAAACAUGAUAGGACGGCCAUCUUGUCUGAGAACGUGUGGGGGACAAGUUUUCUUCUCACUGAAAAUGCAGAAUGAUUGUUUUGCUUCUUUAUUUACUUUCAAAUCCAGGUGGUUGAUGCUAAAUAAACUCAGUAUAACUCUGUGAAAACCCUUACAUAAUCAGCUACGGUAGAAAGAGGCUGAUUGUGUCUGGUGACCCUACAGCGGUGAUCUCCCUUGUCUCUCUCCAUCAUUGUCAAGAUAUUGUCACCAUACAUGGUGUAUUUAAUUUGUAACUAUACAAUGCUGAAAUGUGAACGGGGAAUAAAUCAGGAUUUAUUUCUUAAA